CUCGUAGGCGGCUUGUCGCGUCUGCUGUGAAAUCCCGGAGCUCAACUCCGGGCCUGCAGUGGGUACGGGCAGGCUAGAGUGCGGUAGGGGAGAUUGGAAUUCCUGGUGUAACGGUGGAAUGUGUAGAUAUCGGGAAGAACACCAAUGGCGAAGGCAGGUCUCUGGGCCGUUACUGACGCUGAGGAGCGAAAGCGUGGGGAGCAAACA
rnacentral:rRNA from 1 species